UUGGUGGGCAAGACCCAUUCAUAAAAAUAAUUGCCGAUAAAACAAACAUUUUAUCGAGUUCUCUCAACAAUUUAUCAACAUAUGCAAAUUCCAUGUCAGUUGAAGCAAAGCAAAGAUAUUGCACAAAGUUAUUGUACAACACGGGAACUAAAAGUUUGCCAGAUCCGUACGCAGUUGCUGAACAAUGGACUUCUGACCCUAGCACCCGGCCCGACCUGACCUUUGGCGAUAUUUACCUUUACUUGAUUGACACACCUUCCAUCUACACCAAAGACUCAAUGAAAGCAUACACAUCGUUAGUUGCAUACAAUUACGUCGUCAGUGGACAUGUACAAGUCGUGUUUUCUCACCCAGUGGACAACGACUGUCCAUUCAUGGUCCUCAAGGCAAAGGUCACACCGCCACAGAGACUAGAGAUAAACCACAAGAACCAUAGGUGUAUUUGGAAAAGAGAAGCGGGACAGUAUAUUGUGCUCACUGUACCUGUAUGGCAGGGUUAGGGGAAGGAUGCAGUCAUGUUGGGGCACUACUGUUCAAGGUGGAGAUGGCUGUUAAAAUUGGAAUCACACAAACACGUUCAACCAGUAAAGCUUGUCAGUGGAAUAACAGAUUUAAAAAAGAGUUAUGACACCAAGUAUAGAUAAUCCACCUGCCUCAAAAACAACUGAAAGGAAGUACCCCUCCAUUGCUGUCUACACUUCAACAGACCGAUAACAAUGACAUUAAUGACCUUUGUGAUUCAACCAUAGAUUCAUAUACUCUUUCACAAUACAAGGCAAAAAAUUGAGAAGUAGCAACUAGAAAUCAAGCCAUCAGUUCCUUAUGGUAUCAACA